rnacentral:rRNA from 1 species
GACGAACGCUGGCGGCGUGCUUAACACAUGCAAGUCGAACGGAAAGGCCCUGCUUGCAGGGUACUCGAGUGGCGAACGGGUGAGUAACACGUGGGUGAUCUGCCCUGCACUUCGGGAUAAGCCUGGGAAACUGGGUCUAAUACCGGAUAGGAGCCAUUUUUAGUGUGAUGGUUGGAAAGUUUUUUCGGUGUAGGAUGAGCUCGCGGCCUAUCAGCUUGUUGGUGGGGUAAUGGCCUACCAAGGCGGCGACGGGUAGCCGGCCUGAGAGGGUGGACGGCCACAUUGGGACUGAGAUACGGCCCAGACUCCUACGGGAGGCAGCAGUGGGGAAUAUUGCACAAUGGGCGCAAGCCUGAUGCAGCGACGCCGCGUGGUGGAUGACGGCCUUCGGGUUGUAAACUCCUUUCGCUAGGGACGAAGCUUUUUGUGACGGUACCUAGAUAAGAAGCACCGGCUAACUACGUG